CCCUCCUCAGCCGCACACACACACACAAUCACAUAUCUCACUCUUAUCUCUCUUCACGCCAAAUCCGCCUCUCUCUCUGCUCCCUCGAAUUUCCGCCGCCGCGGCUCCUCCUUGGCGACGACGGAACGCCGCCGCCUCCCUUGGCCUCUCCCUCUCUUGGUCCGUUUCCGGCGACAGACAUCACCAUCUCCCUCUUCCUCACCAAAUCGCGCCGCCGCCUCCUCUCUGGAACUCCGGCGAGUCAGCAGCGAGAGGCCACUGCCGCCGCGCCCCCUCUCUCCAAUUUCAGGCGACGAUGACGACUCCUCGCCGCCACCGUGCCCUAGCCUCCCUUGCUCAACCUUGGCCGACGGCAGCAGCUUUCUGCCACUACCAUUGCCGCCCUCUAUCUCUCCUCUCUUUCUCCAGCCGUGGCCGGGCAGCAGCGGCACCGCCGUCGUGCCCUGCCUCCCUCCGAAAGCUCAACCACCGCCCCCAUUAACAGAUCCGGCGGGCGCGGUCAGUGGCUCCACGCCACCACCGUCAGCACCCCAUUCUCUCUCUAAAACUUCCGGUGACAGACGACGGGGUCGCCGCCGAUGGUAACAACAGUCGCACCGCCGUCAUCCCUUAUCCCCCCCCUGACUCGACUCAAUACAGCAAGAUCGAAGGCAGGGAAACAAAAUCAGAACUUCCAUUUCUAUCUUUGACUUUCUUUUCUUUUUACAGACAUGCUUGAAUGUAAAUAUAUACACGUAUAUAAACAGAGUGCAAAUGUAAUGUAUGUAUGGGUGUUUUCCUUGUUAGGCAGUUGAAAUUCUUAUGACAUGAUCUGGGUUU
rnacentral:lncRNA from 1 species